UUGACCUCGGAUCAGGUAGGAAUACCCGCUGAACUUAAGCAUAUCAAUAAGCGGAGGAAAAGAAACCAACAGGGAUUGCCCUAGUAACGGCGAGUGAAGCGGCAACAGCUCAAAUUUGAAAUCUGGCUCUCGGGCCCGAGUUGUAAUUUGUAGAGGAUGCUUUUGAUGCGGUGCCUUCCGAGUUCCCUGGAACGGGACGCCAUAGAGGGUGAGAGCCCCGUCUGGUUGGAUGCCAAAUCUCUGUAAAGCUCCUUCGACGAGUCGAGUAGUUUGGGAAUGCUGCUCUAAAUGGGAGGUAUAUGUCUUCUAAAGCUAA
rnacentral:rRNA from 2 species